ensembl:lncRNA novel transcript
UGUAUUUUUAGUAGAGACAGGUUUUCACCGUGUUAGCCAGGAUGGUCUCGAUACCCUGACUUCCUGAUCCGCCCGUCUUGGACAUGUUACUUUUAUGGGCAGAAAACAGCACUACAAAGUUGUUUCAGGAAAGUCUGGCUGUGAAGCUGGCAGGAAAGGAGAGAGUGGCUGGGUGAAGAAACCGGGUUGAACAAUGUUUUGUUUUUUUCGGAUGGGAGGUAUCUGAGCAUGACUAAAUCCGGAUGGACAGAGUUGAUAGAGAGGAAGAAUUGCAAAAAGAGCAGAGGGCAUCUGGAGAAAGAGGAGGAGGACACAGUGUCCUGAGGGGGAGGUAAGAGAGGAGGACACAGUGUCCUGAGGGGGAGGUGAGAGAGGGGGACACGGUGUCCUGAGGGGGAGGUGAGAGAGGAGGACACAGUGUCCGGAGUGGGAGGUGAGAGAGGAGGACAGUGUCCUGAGGGGGAGGUGAGAGAGAGGAGGACACAGUGUCCGGAGUGGGCGGUGAGAGAGGAGGACACAGUGUCCAGAGUGGGAGGUGAGAGAGGAGGACAGUGUCCUGAGGGGGAGGUGAGAGAGAGGAGGACACAGUGUCCUGAGGGGGAGGUGAGAGAGGAAGACACAGUGUACUGAGGGGGGAGGUGACAGAGGAGGACACAGUGUCCAGAGUGGGGAGAUGACAGAGGGGGACACAAGUGUAUGGAGGGGGGAGAUUAGACUCAGGAAGGGACGGACAAGCUUGUAGGUGUGAUGAGAAAUCAACUGAGGGAAUUCUCAUCAGUGGGUUCCCUUUUCCGGGAAACAGCAAGUUAAAUCAUCUGCUGAGAGGAAGGAAGGAAUGAUGGGAGACUGAGAAGCAUCAAGGCGUGAGCCAGUCACCGUGGAAAUGGAGGAGAAAGCUGACAGGAAUCCGCUGGGCUGCACGUGUGUAACUUCUCUGUCGGCCUCAGCAGCUGGGGCUGGGGUCAGAAGGAACAGAUGCAUGAGCUGAUCUGGGACCAAGAUUCCUCCAGGUGGGUGUGACAGAAGAAGCUCAGAAAAAGAACUAAAAAAACUGAUCAGAUGAUCCUGACUUCUGUAUAUAAAGUUAAGUGGGGCCCCCUUCUUUGACCACCACCAUGGGCAGGUUAGCUAUUAGUAAAGCUGUGUUACACUCUGCGCUUCCCAAGGGUCCUGGCCAUUGCCGCCUACCUAUGCGUCUGAAGAACAAGCAGUCAGUCAGUAGACUGGAAAGGUUUACAUUGUAUCUGUCUUAAAAAUGUUGUACCUGCUCUUGAGCGUCAACUUCACUAAAAUCGCCGUUUAAGUUGUUCUCAGAUAUCAGUUCUUCCCAGGUGAACAGCAGUGAAUCUGUGACUUCACCAAAUGGAUUAAAGUCAAUGAGCCACACCUUCCCCUGUAGCACAGAGAGAGAAAAAACAAAAACAAACAUCUUCUGUACUCUGUCUUCUGAGAAAGAAACACUUUUUUAUUCUGAGACAGGGUCUCAUGCUGUUGCCCAGGCUGCAGUGCACUGGUGUGAUCACGGCUCACUGCAGCCUCGACCUCCUGGGCUCAAAGGAUCCUCCUGCCUCAGCCUCCUCAGUACCUGGGACUACAGGCAUGCACCACCACAUGCAGCUAAUUUUUGUAUUUUCUUCGAGACAGGGUCUCGCCAUGUUGCCCAGGCUGGUCUUGAACUCUUGGGUUCAAGCAAUCCCCUCACCUCAGCCUCCCAAAGUGCUGGGAUUACAGACAUAAGCCACGUCGCCCGGCCAGAAAGAUAUUCUUCAUAUUAUUCUAAUCUUAAAAAUCUUCUCACUUAUUUCAAAAGAUCAUCUGUCUAUAUCCCAUCUGAGAAAGGGCCGCCUGUCUGAAUAGACAGAGAUCUAAAGGGAGGGCCCCCUGUGAAUGAAGAGAGAAGGGACCCAGUAAAGC